rnacentral:rRNA from 1 species
CCUACGGGAGGCAGCAGUGAGGAAUAUUGGACAAUGGGCGCAAGCCUGAUCCAGCCAUGCCGCGUGCAGGAUGAAGCAUCUAUGGUGUGUAAACUGCUUUUGUACAGGAAGAAACCUCCCGACGUGUCGGGAAUUGACGGUACUGUAAGAAUAAGGAUCGGCUAACUCCGUGCCAGCAGCCGCGGUAAUACGGAGGAUCCAAGCGUUAUCCGGAAUCAUUGGGUUUAAAGGGUCCGUAGGCGGACCAGUAAGUCAGUGGUGAAAUCUCUCCGCUCAACGGGGAAAUGGCCAUUGAUACUGCUGGUCUUGAAUUAUUAGGAAGUAACUAGAAUAUGUAGUGUAGCGGUGAAAUGCUUAGAGAUUACAUGGAAUACCAAUUGCGAAGGCAGGUUACUACUAAUGGAUUGACGCUGAUGGACGAAAGCGUGGGUAGCGAACAGGAUUAGAUACCCUGGUAGUCCACGCCGUAAACGAUGGAUACUAGCUGUUGGGGGUCAACUUCAGUGGCUAAGCGAAAGUGAUAAGUAUCCCACCUGGGGAGUACGUUCGCAAGAUGAAACUCAAAGGAAUUGACGG